CUCAAGCACAAAACCCAAAGUCCAGGCCUGUAUUGGAACAUUUCAAAUAAAGCAAGUUGGCAUAAUUGCAGCACUAUGAAGUCUGGAACAUCUGAAACAACUUCAGAGCAUCUGAUCCUCAGCUUCCAGCACAAGGAACCAAACAGCACCACUGUGUAACAAGGGCAGAAGACAAUCUGAAACAAUCAUUAGGACAAGAGAGAAAUGAGUGCAUCCAGAAAUUUGCUCCUGUCUUCUGUUUUCAAUUCAAUUAUGGACAUGUCAAAAUGGUUGUGUAAAGUCCGAGAAUUUGUACUAUCAGCAGCUUUCUCAAAUGCUCUUCCAAAAAAGUUCUUUUUGUCAGAGCUUUCUGUCUCUGGAGGAAUCCCCACCAUGAUCACAGUUCCCUG
rnacentral:lncRNA from 1 species